UCAUUGCACACACAUGAAUGUUGCAGCAAACCCGGUUUAGGCGAAUGAAAACAUUGUCCCACUAUCAAAACUUGUCCCGGUCGGGCCUCUUCUUCUUCUUCGGGGGUCCCUUGCUCCGCACCUGCUGCGGGGGAGGGGGCCGCGCGAKCUCGAACGAGAGGAGAGCGGGUCCCGCCCCCGGGAUCAAGUAACCACAUUGAUCGCGCAAUGCAUCAACACUUUGACACAUGACUGAGUCCCUAAAUACUUUUGUGGAGGGGGGAGUUCUCUCCCCUCCCGCGAGUUGGAACAUAACCAAAAACAACUCUCAGCAACGGAUAUCUUGGCUCUUGCAACGAUGAAGAACGCAGCGAAAUGCGAUACGUAGUGUGAAUUGCAGAAUUCCGCGAAUCAUCGAGUCUUUGAACGCAAGUUGCGCCCGAGGCUUGUCCGAGGGCAUUUCCGCUAGAGCGUCACCGCGCUCCCCCACCGAUCCACCAAAGGUUCUUCGGACCGAAGGUGCGUUUCGAGUGAAAGUGGCCAUCCCGAUGGGGGCGCACCGUCGUCCGAUCGGGUUGGCUGAAAACGAGGGAAUUUGGCCGCCGUGGUGACGGAGCCCGCGAUCAGGUGAUCCGAGCGCAAGCUCGGAACUCAAACGUGCGUGGCUGCGUCGUCCACCUACGAGAGCGAGUUGGAUACUUACGUGAAGAAAAGCAGGUAUGUGUGUUCGGGGCCCCCCUCYUUAAUUGUGUCGGGGGCGUUUUGUGAGUGUUGCCUUGGGGAAACUUGGGAGAACAUUUGGAACAUACGCGUCACGCAUCAGA
rnacentral:sRNA from 1 species